rnacentral:lncRNA from 1 species
CCUGAGCAAUGAGGAGGAGGAAGAAGAAGGUAGUGUGUGGCUAUGGGAAGGUGAGCAAUAAAAGUGGAGAAGGAAGGGGACAACGGGCCUAAGUGGUGGAAGGAGAAAGGAGGUAGAGAAGUAAGCGGUGACGAUAGGAAGACGAACAACAGAGAAGGAGAAAGAAGAGAGCAGUGGGCCCAAGCAGCAGAAGGAGAAGGGGGUG